AUAAGCUGAAGUUAUUGCUUCGCGAAGUCUCGCGAGACUUCGGGUAAUAACUUCAUAAAUUAAUUUGUACUGUAAAAAACGAUUUUCCGAACUCAGGUUCAGUUUUAAGAUAUCACUAGUAAC